CAGGAGAAGUCAAAUAUUCACAUAUUGGAGAAGACUUCACAUUCCUUGGAUAUCUUGGACUUUGAGCUGAAUUCACUGGAAGGGACUUCGGGUUGUCUUUCCUAGGGAGAAGCUUGUGCAUGUGUGACUGUGGAGCAGCUGCAUGGCAGCUGAUGCUUCAACAUCUCAAGAGAAUCACAAGGCUAGAGAGACGCUGAAUCCCAUCUGUGGGGAAAAUGGAAAUUCCAUGGCCAGGAUCCUCACCUGAUCCUAAACUACAAAUGAUGUAACUGGCCUACUGCUUCCACACCCACAGGGAAUGAGCUGUUAUUGACUGAGUCACUAUAUAAGCAGCUCCACCCAGUGCUCUGGGUGGAGGCAGAGACAGAAGUGGAUUACAGACCUGCAGACUGCUGGAUGUAGACAUGAUUCUAGUGCUUGACCUACUACCAUGAGAAUAAAGCCAGGUAUAAAC